rnacentral:RNase_P_RNA from 1 species
CCUGCUGAUGCAGGUAAGGGUGGAAAGGCAGUGUAAGAGACUACCGCCCAUCUGGUAACAGAAGGGGCAUAUGUAAACCCCAUUCGAAGCAAGACCGGAAGAAAGCAAUGUGGCUGCCCGUCACGCUUUAGGUAGGUCGCUUGAACCUGCUGGUGACAGCAGGUCUGGAUAGAUGAACAUUCACGACAUAACCCGGCUUAUCGUUUUGCUUGCUUA